CUUUGGUUCUAUUUUGUUGGUUUCUAGGACCGAAGUAAUGAUUAAUAGGGAUAGUUGGGGGCAUUAGUAUUUAAUUGUCAGAGGUGAAAUUCUUGGAUUUAUGAAAGACUAACUUCUGCGAAAGCAUUUGCCAAGGAUGUUUUCAUUAAUCAAGAACGAAAGGUUAGGGGAUCGAAGACGAUCAGAUACCGUCGUAGUCUUAACCAUAAACUAUGCCGACUAGGGAUCGGACGACGUUAACUUAUUGACUCGUUCGGCACCUUAUGAGAANACUAAAGUUUUUGGGUUCCGGGGGGAGUAUGGUCGCAAGGCUGAAACUUAAAGGAAUUGACGGAAGGGCACCACCAGGAGUGGAGCCUGCGGCUUAAUUUGACUCAACACG
rnacentral:rRNA from 1 species